AUCACUUAAAUUAAUUAUCAAAAUGAAUUAAGUUUUUGGCGCUUGAUUUGAACCACUAAUCAGAUAAUAGAUAUUAAAAUUUAAAUCUUAUGGGCCAUGGCAUAACGUUUUAAAAUUUCACAUUUUCACGAUUCACGGAUAAAUGACACAAGUCACGUCGUUAAUAAUUUUCUUCAGUACUUCAAAAUUUUCAAGUUACAAGUUGCGAAUUAUUGUUGAUGAUUAUUAAAUAAUGUUCGAUAUAUUUCAACAUUAACACCAACUAAAUUAUAAAAAAAAACGAUAAAUCGAAACGUUUAAAACCAGAAAGGCAACGGUUGUGGAUUAAAUUGCCCAAGCAAUCUCUACACAAGCAUUUGUGUCCACAAGGAAUGCAUGCGUGGCUGUUGACAUUGCUUAAACAAAUAACGCAGCAAUCGGCGGGUCUUGGUUCAACUCCAUUGAUAUCGAGAGGAACAUGAGGGAUGUUUUCCCUGUCUUGAGCCCUCCUCUGUUCCUCAAUUUCCGCCAUAGCAAUGAACACCGGAUCAUCAUCCUCUGCUAAUACAAAAUCAGGUUCAUCUAGAUUAUAAUAAAAUACAGGAAAUCAUACUUGGGCCAUAUGGAACCAGCAUUUCUGUAAUCUGACUCUGGAAAAAACGUUGGUCAACGCAUUGCUCAACCCUACUUCGUAGUCAGUGACAAUGUUACUUGCACUAAUCCCCGGAACACAAGUCUUAAUAUGGUCCAAUACACUUGUGUACGCCAUUUGAGUUUUUCGGGUCAUUAAUGCGUAUGCAACGGGAAAUGCCUGUUAAAAUAAAUAAAAUAGUUAGGGAUGGAGAUAUGAAAACGACUGCUGAUCCAGCGUCAGGAGGACCCAUGACGAACCCUCUGAACAUUUCUCGUCCAUUAGCAGUUUUGAAUAAAUGAACGUAUCGAGCAUCUACC